rnacentral:lncRNA from 1 species
UGAAAUCCUAACCCCCAAGGUAAUGGCACUAUGACGUGGAGCCUUUGAGAGUGAUUAGGUCGUGAGGAUAAAGCCCUUGUGAAUGGCAUUAGUGCCCUUAUAAAAGAGACUCAAGGGAGUGCAUUUGCCCCUUCUACCAUGUGAAGACACAGGGAGAAGUCACAGUCUAUGAACCAGGAAUGUGGACCUCACCAGAUACUGAAUCUGCUGGUGCCUUGAUCUUGGACUUCCCAGCCUCCAGAACUGUCCUGAACAGCUUGGAGUACUAAGAAGAGCGCUGGACAUGAACUGGAAUAUGUGGGUUCAAAUCCCACCUUUUCACUGCCCAGCUCUGUGACCCUGAGCAAGUGACUCAACCUCUGUGAGCCCCGUGUCCUCUCUGUAAAAUGGAGGUAUGAAUGCCUGUGAGAACAGGAUAUGGGGAGGGUUCCUGUAUAACACUUCGCCCUGCCCAUCUGAAUAAAAGGCUGCAUUCACCCUUCCUAAGGAAGACCACUUUCCGAUGUUCCAGUCUGAAGACAAGGAAUGCAAAGCUCACGGAUGCCGAGGAAUUUAUCCAAGAUCACUGUGAUGGGAUGGGAACUUUGGUUUUCAGCCUUUAAAUACAUUGGUGCAGAAGUCCAAGAAAGAUGCUUGGAAAGAC